UUGAGCCGUGUGCGGUGAAAGUCGCACGCACGGUUCUUAGGGGGGAUGGGCCAGUAAUGGCCUAUCCCUACCCGAC
rnacentral:ncRNA from 1 species